rnacentral:lncRNA from 1 species
AUCUAGUACAAUCAAUGGUGUAACCACAGCAACAACAACGGAGCUAAAGGAUGGUUAUGAUUUACCUGUAUAUGGGCUAGCUAAUGGUACCUUUUACAGCAUCCAUGUACCAGCACUUAUUUGUAUAUGUUUCAGCUUUACAUGUGUUAUAUCUGUUAUAACUUAUUCGUUUUACCAUCAGCACAUAUCUACAUUCUUUAAGUGGACAAAAUGCGAACGAUUUGCCGUUUAUAUUGCCAUAUGUGAUGGACUUUUUAAUAUUUCCCAUUUUUCUGACCAUCUGCAUAUAGGAACUACCAACACCAAAACAUCUGUGUGCUUUCUAUGGAUUUCUGCUUGCGGAAUUUGUCACAGCUCAGAAUUUAUUGGUCAGCAUCGUUGCAAUUAAUGUUUUUGUUUUAGUUUAUUUUCGGAAGAAACUUGACUUUGGAUGCAAGGAUUAUCGACUUCUUGGAUUCAUUUUUGGGGCUCCUGCCUUAGGACUAACAGUAACAGCUGGCUUAGGACAGUUAGGUCCAAAUGGCAGUUUGUAAGUACAAAAAUGUAAUAGAUUUUCUAUAAAUAGCAUCAAACAAGGCGACAUACUUGAUAAACACUUUACUUUCAUUUUCAACUAGGUGAUGAUGGCAAAACAAAUGUUGUCUAAACAAACUUCUCAUACAGACUGUUGAAUACUAAUAUUAAAGAACGUAAUUAAGAAGUUAUUUUAGCGAUGUCAAAAAUAUCGUUAAUCCAUUUCCAUACAAAACCUAGAGAAAUUUUAGAUGAGGGUGAUUUAUCGAGACUAUAGACAGGACAUUUAUAUCUUUGAUUUCAAUUCUUGUAGAAAUGGUAUUGUUUAAUGGAGACGAAACACGCCUCUGGCGUAAUAAAUUAUAACCCUGGUACCUUUGAUAACUAUUAAUGGGAAUUUACACCUGUUUAUUUUGAAUAUGACACCAGGAAUAUAAAAGCGAAGAAUGACGCUGUUUGUUGAGUUUACCUUGCUCUUAACACAAUAUUAUCGGCAAUAUUCGAUUGUGGGGAAAAUGGUAAUAGCAAUUCAAAUGAGCUGUUAGUCUAAUAUUCAAAUGAUCCCACCAUAUGUCGUUCUAUUUCAAGGUUUUUAAUAUGAAGUAGAUUUUUGAUAGUCUUUUAUUGUACUGAUACACAAGGACAAAGGACGAGUUUUAAAAAAUCUUCAUUUCCUCUUUCGUGAAUUGUGUAAGCUGGAGACUAAAAGAACUAGACGGCCGUACGGUUGCCUAUGAUUCUUUAUACAAAAUUCAUUUGAAAUUUGGUGGAUGGUUGUCUUAUUGGCAAUCAUACCCUAUAUCCUUAUUUUUAUCUAGAAACAAACGUCUGUGAUAAUUUGGAUUACCAAAACAAAUGUAGUUCAGAGACAAACGUUGCAGUGGGGGAUGUUAGAACACCAUUCAAGGUAUAACGAAAUAAUUCAGAAAAUAAAGAUAUGCGGCAAUAAAAUAAAGGCAACAGUAGAAUAUCGCUGUUCGAAAUUCAUAAAUCUAUUGAAAAAAAACUAAAUAAAUCCGGGUUACAAACUAAAACUGAGGGAAACGCAUCAAAUAUAAGAUGAGAACUAUGACACAACAGAACACAACAUUAAAAUGUAACACACACAUAAACGAACUAUAAUAUAAUGAUGGUCAUUUUGUACACUUGGUACAGGCUAUUUCAAGCAAAACAUGAUGGGUUUAACCUGGUUUUGUGGCAUGCCAAUUCUCCCGUUUGUAUUGCAAUGUUAAAUAUAACAUUAAAAUGACAACAUUACAUGACAGGACUACAAUACAAAUAAAUUGGAGAACAUAUAGGACAGAGAAACACAUAAAUAAUACCUAACAAAAGGUACCAGGUUUAAAAUUUAAUACGCCAGACGUACGUUUCGUCCACAAAAGACAAAUCAGUGACGCUCAGAUGAAAAAAAUUCGAAAGCCAAAACAAGUACAAAGUUGUAGAGCACUGAGGACCAAAAGUUUCAAAAAGUUGUGACCAAUACGGCUAGGGUUUUCUGCCUUACACAAGAAAAUACUUUUUAUUUAGAAUAAUUCCUACUUUUGCAAACAGUCAAUUUUAUAAAAUGAAUAUAUAAUAGAUAUACAUGAUAAAACCAAAGUGGUGACUAAUUACAGAAGAAAAAUGGACACAUUUCAAGAAACAACAUAAACCAGCACAUAAAAAUACACAGCCGAGUUAGCCAAAGCCAUGAACGCACAACGUGACGUCACAUUUGAAUUUCUAAAAAGAUUUCCAAAAAUAAGAUAGAAUUAGGAUAGAAUUCAAGAUUAGAUUUCUAAGACUGAUAUAACAUUUAUUAAUAACAAUGAAAAUUACAAUACUAAUUAAUAUCAAAUUGUGGUAGUAAUUAGAUAAUUAAUAGUAUUAUCUAGCUAUGUCGGUGUUUCUUCUGAAUAAAACUGUAAACCAAAUAUAUCGUAUAAAUUUCGUUGAUUCACACUAAAAUCUAAUAAAUGAACUGGAUGAUUAAUUAUCUUUACCAUAACACACAAAUACAACAGAAAAAAAAUCAGAUUUACAAAUACAAACAUAAAGACAUUUGACAAAACCCAUGAGAAUAACAAAUAUAACAUCAAAACUAAAUACAUGAAUUUGGCAUAGAAAAGUACCGUGACACGUCUUAUAGCAAUGCGAAUUCACACUCAGCAAAACAGUAACAAUCGGGAAUAUGUCACGUUCGGUAAUUAAAACAUCAGACGACGCAAUUAACAUGUUCUUCCUACUGCAUAAAAAGGUAUCUUCGGAAUCCUUAUUGUAAAAAAUGUAUCAAAUUAUCGUAUAGCGUAUUAUUUUCGCGGAGUAAAUUGUGUUUUAUUUUCGCGGAUAGAACAAAAUCGCCAAAAUAAAUUCCUCCAUUUUAAAAGUGCAACUGCAAAGGUACUGAUAAAAGUUUUGAAUCCGCCUAAAUAUUAAACGCCAAAAUAUGUCGUAUAACUUAUUUAUUGUUAUAAAAAUAACCCACUAUACGGUACUUUAAUCAUUGACUCCUUUAAUGAAUAAUUUUUUUUUUUUGUUUCAGUUGCUUCUUUGAUGGUGUUAAAGGACAGAUCGCCAACUUCAUAUAUACAACUAUUCUACUUUCUGCCAUUACAAUUACCAACAUACUUCUUUACGUCAUUAGCUGGUUUCGUAUUUAUCGGGAAACGAAAGCUAUUAAAAAAUCGCAAAAAUCUUUGAUCGCUUCGCAUAGAGCGGCUUAAACCAUGUCUUUAUUUGUUUUCGCUUUCCUAGUACAGUGUUGGGCCAUGGCAACGUACGGUAUAUGGCAGUGGGUAACGGAUGUUCCACAAACUUUGUUCCAUUUUGUGACAACUUUCUCAAAUUUAGGUGGUGUUCUCAAUGGAAUAGUAUUUAUCAUUAUUGUACGGAGGAAAAGAUACGGA